rnacentral:rRNA from 1 species
AUCCUGGCUCAGGACGAACGCUGGCGGCGUGCCUAAUACAUGCAAGUCGAACGAAGCUUUCUUUCACCGAAUGCUUGCAUUCACCGAAAGAAGCUUAGUGGCGAACGGGUGAGUAAUACGUAGGCAACCUGCCCAAAAGAGGGGGAUAACACUUGGAAACAGGUGCUAAUACCGCAUAACCAUGAACACCGCAUGAUGUUCAUGUAAAAGACGGCUUUUGCUGUCACUUUUGGAUGGGCCUGCGGCGUAUUAACUUGUUGGUGGGGUAACGGCCUACCAAGGUGAUGAUACGUAGCCGAACUGAGAGGUUGAUCGGCCACAUUGGGACUGAGACACGGCCCAAACUCCUACGGGAGGCAGCAGUAGGGAAUCUUCCACAAUGGACGAAAGUCUGAUGGAGCAACGCCGCGUGAAUGAAGGAGGCCUUCGGGUCGUAAAAUUCUGUUGUCAGAGAAGAACGUGCGUGAGAGUAACUGUUCACGUAUUGACGGUAUCUGACCAGAAAGCCACGGCUAACUACGUGCCAGCAGCCGCGGUAAUACGUAGGUGGCGAGCGUUGUCCGGAUUUAUUGGGCGUAAAGGGAACGCAGGCGGUCUUUUAAGUCUGAUGUGAAAGCCUUCGGCUUAACCGAAGUAGUGCAUUGGAAACUGGAAGACUUGAGUGCAGAAGAGGAGAGUGGAACUCCAUGUGUAGCGGUGAAAUGCGUAGAUAUAUGGAAGAACACCAGUGGCGAAAGCGGCUCUCUGGUCUGUAACUGACGCUGAGGUUCGAAAGCGUGGGUAGCAAACAGGAUUAGAUACCCUGGUAGUCCACGCCGUAAACGAUGAGUGCUAAGUGUUGGAGGGUUUCCGCCCUUCAGUGCUGCAGCUAACGCAUUAAGCACUCCGCCUGGGGAGUACGGUCGCAAGACUGAAACUCAAAGGAAUUGACGGAAGGGCGAAUU